rnacentral:rRNA from 1 species
CCUACGGGAGGCAGCAGUGGGGAAUAUUGGGCAAUGGAGGAAACUCUGACCCAGCAACGCCGCGUGAAUGAUGAAGGUCUUCGGAUUGUAAAGUUCUUUUCUAAGGGAAGAAGAAAGUGACGGUACCUUAGGAAUAAGCCUCGGCUAACUACGUGCCAGCAGCCGCGGUAAUACGUAGGAGGCAAGCGUUAUCCGGAAUGACUGGGCGUAAAGGGUGCGUAGGUGGUUUGACAAGUUGGGAGCGUAACUCCGAGGCUUAACCUCGGCACUGCUACCGAAACUGUUGGACUCGAGUGCAGGAGGGGCAAAUGGAAUGCCUAGUGUAGCGGUGGAAUGCGUAGAUAUUAGGAAGAACACCAGUGGCGAAGGCGAUUUGCUGGACUGUAACUGACACUGAGGCACGAAAGCGUGGGGAGCAAACAGGAUUAGAUACCCCUGUAGUC